AUUGAACGCUGGCGGCAGGCCUAACACAUGCAAGUCGAGCGGAUGAAGGGAGCUUGCUCCUGGAUUCAGCGGCGGACGGGUGAGUAAUGCCUAGGAAUCUGCCUGGUAGUGGGGGAUAACGUCCGGAAACGGGCGCUAAUACCGCAUACGUCCUGAGGGAGAAAGUGGGGGAUCUUCGGACCUCACGCUAUCAGAUGAGCCUAGGUCGGAUUAGCUAGUUGGUGGGGUAAAGGCCUACCAAGGCGACGAUCCGUAACUGGUCUGAGAGGAUGAUCAGUCAACCUAGAACUUAGACACGGUCCAGACUCCUACGGGAGGCAGCAGUGGGGAAUAUUGGACAAUGGGCGACAGCCUGAUCCAGCCAUGCCGCGUGUGUGAAGAAGGUCUUCGGAUUGUAAAGCACUUUAAGUUGGGAGGAAGGGCAGUAGGUAAAUACCUUGCUGUUUUGACGUUACCAACAGAAUAAGCACCGGCUAACUUCGUG
rnacentral:rRNA from 1 species